rnacentral:pre_miRNA from 1 species
CUCUGUAUUCUUCCACAGCUUUCUUGAACUGCAAAACUUCUUCAGAUUUGUUUUUUUUUUAUAUAUAUAUAUGUCUUACGCAUAAAAUAAUGUUUUUAUUCACAUCUCUGCUCGAAUGAUUUGCGGUUCAAUAAAGCUGUGGGAAGAUACGGACA